rnacentral:rRNA from 1 species
GACGAACGCUGGCGGCGUGCCUAAUACAUGCAAGUCGAACGGUCUUUUCUAUGGAAGCUUGCUUCCACUGAGAAGAUAGUGGCGAACGGGUGAGUAACACGUGGGUAACCUGCCCAUAAGAGGGGGAUAACAUCCGGAAACGGGUGCUAAUAUCGCAUAGUUUUCUUGAUCGCAUGAUCGAGAAAGGAAAGACGGCCUUUGUGCUGUCACUUAUGGAGGGACCCGCGGCGUAUUAGUUAGUUGGUGAGGUAACGGCUCACCAAGACGAUGAUACGUAGCCGACCUGAGAGGGUGAUCGGCCACAUUGGGACUGAGACACGGCCCAAACUCCUACGGGAGGCAGCAGUAGGGAAUCUUCCGCAAUGGACGAAAGUCUGACGGAGCAACGCCGCGUGAGUGAAGAAGGUUUUCGGAUCGUAAAACUCUGUUGUCAGAGAAGAACAAGUCGGGGAGUAACUGCUCCGGCCUUGACGGUAUCUGACCAGAAAGCCACGGCUAACUACGUGCCAGCAGCCGCGGUAAUAC